UGGGGAAUAUUGCGCAAUGGGCGGAAGCCUGACGCAGCGACGCCGCGUGGGGGAUGAAGGCCUUCGGGUUGUAAACCUCUUUCAGCGCCGAAGAAGCGAAAGUGACGGUAGGCGCAGAAGAAGCACCGGCUAACUACGUGCCAGCAGCCGCGGUAAUACGUAGGGUGCAAGCGUUGUCCGGAAUUAUUGGGCGUAAAGAGCUCGUAGGCGGUUUGUCACGUCGGGAUGUGAAAACCCGGGGCUUAACUUCGGGCCUGCAUUCGAUACGGGCAGACUAGAGUUCGGUAGGGGAGACUGGAAUUCCUGGUGUAGCGGUGAAAUGCGCAGAUAUCAGGAGGAACACCGGUGGCGAAGGCGGGUCUCUGGGCCGAUACUGACGCUGAGGAGCGAAAGCGUGGGGAGCGAACAGGAUUAGAUACCCUGGUAGUCCACGCCGUAAACGUUGGGCGCUAGGUGUGGGUUGCCUCCAAGCGAUCCGUGCCGCAGCUAACGCAUUAAGCGCCCCGCCUGGGGAGUACGGCCGCAA
rnacentral:rRNA from 1 species